CCUUUUCACCCCUGCCCUACAAACAUCCUAAGUCCACCACUGACAGAGAGAUACAAGUUGAAGAGCAGGCAGAUCGAGGUGGUUUUCAACUCCUCCCUUUUAUUCCCAAACCAUAGGUCCAAUCGUCAAUCUGAACAUACCACAAGAAAGAUACACUUGUUCUGAAUGCAAAGAUAUUGGUUUCAUGUUUGAAAAGUCAAAAAUGCGAUCUUCGUCGCACGUUUACGAUGUCUAGCUCACAGCUGACACAUUUGCUCAUGUUACUUCAGAGGCACUAGCUUAGAGUUCUCAAUGUCAACCCGAGCCAGAGCCGAUCCGAAUAAGGCUUGGACAGUGAAGAGAGAGAGAGAGAAAAAAAAAAGUGUGUCUGUCAGAGAAGCGCACUGUGUGAGGGUGCGACAGCAGCACUAACACACAAAGGCUGACUUUAAGUGAUUAAAGAUACUGUAUUUGAGCCAGGGAAGCCAGACUGCUGAGGCGCACAGGGGGAGCAUCAUUUUUUCCCCCUUCCAUUUAAAAAACAAAAACAACUCGGGUUCAGUCGGGCUCGGACCCAGUGAUGUACGUGAUGAUGUCGGGCCGGCCCGGUUUCGGGCUUCAAGUCCCUCGGAUCAUUUCGGUUUCGGGUUGAAUUUUUGGGCCCAUUGAGAACUCUACACUAGCUAAUUUCUUGUUGGAUUUAGGUCAGUGGUGUCAAUGAGUGAUUUGUAGAUCUCGAGAAGACAAACAAGCCAGUUUUGGUUUGAUCUUUCUAUGUCAUUCCUACAGGCAGCAGCAGCCAUUUUAGUGUGUGUAGGUGACGCAAAAAUUGUCAAGAGGUUUUGUGACAUGUUACCUUAAAGAGGGCAUAAAAUCCAAACCGUUUGAGUAAUGACAAAGUUGUUCAGAGGAAUUGUUUAGCAGGGCAUGAUCUAUCAUGUGUGCAUGUUUGAAGUCAAUACAAUAAACGGUGUAGGAGGAAAUAUUUUUUUAGUAAGAGAAUUUUUGAAAAAUGACAUCUUACUUGAUGUCAAGUAAGUCCUUCGGCCGAGGUCCCUAAUAAUAAACGCAGCAAAAACAAUAGGGACUUUGUCCUUCGGCCGAGGUCCCUAAUAAAAGGAAACUUUGCAGAUAUUCAACUAGCCACCGAUACUCUGCUGGUGUAUAGGUGGGGAGCUUGGGGGGAAGCCAAACACUUUCAUCUGCACACUGCGAUGACACAUAGCCGGUUGAAUAACGGCAGGUUCCCUGUUUCCCUUCACUGGUUUCUGUAGAGCAGGGUAGGUCUUUAUUCACUGCUAUAAUCAUUAAAAAGCAAAAUCAGCAUGUGUUAACUUUCAGCAGGCUGUAUCCUCAGUAGCGAGUUUGCUAACCCUACACUUUUUUUUAUUUUGGCUUUGGAACAAGGAAGAAAUGUAUAUCUCCUUCUAACCUCUCCAGGCAACAAGUAUCAUUAAUAAACAUUGUUCCCCAGGCAAGGCCGGGACCUAGUGAAGGGUCAAUUAUGAGAUAAAAAUACAUAAAUAUGAGUCUCCAAUUUCUUUUUCUCGGAUAAAUGCAGUGUCCUUCUGUAGAAAUGACCCCAAUUACACAGAGUUAGUGAAAAAGAGCAGUAUGUAUUUAACCUUCCUGCACAGAUGUUACAUAUUAGAAGUCCUCCAGCAGCUCAACUGGCAUACCACUGGUAGGCAUUUAAUGUGAAACAUGUACAAAAAGUCAAUGGGAUACAUCUCUGUUGUACCAAAUUAAUUAGUGCUGUGGAAAUGUACAUUAUACAUACAUUAGUUUGGCUUUAGAAUCAUAAGGGAAGCUAACUGGCCUCCUGAAUAAAAGUCGGAAGUUGUUGGACCCAUCCACCACCCCUCCCACCCGCCCUACAUGAGCCCUCACUGCCUUAACUUUCAUUUUUGUCCCACUUUUCCCUGAUGCCCCAGCGAUUGGUCACGUUUCAUGCCAACAUGAAAGGACGUCUUUUUUGUCAGUGUCUGAUGCUGUAAGUCACUGCCCAAGCGCCGGAUUUCAACAACUUCAGAGUGAGAGUGAUCCUCUGGAAUGUCCUGAUAGGAAGCGGCUAAUAGCUGUCUGGGCCCAUAUUUAAAUGCCAUUACGCUCUUUUAAAACCAUUUCAUUUGUGCUGAACCUAACAUUUGUUUAAUGUGGCUUUUGUUUAUGAUCUAGUGGUCACUUUUUGUUCUUUGUAUUUUUGUUUACUUCACUUUAUUACUUGUGUUUGUCCACAUCAUUUUAGCAAUUUUGGCAUGUUUUAACACUUGUCUUUUGUUGUUUUUGUCUUUG